GCUUCCCUUUGAAGGGGAAAAAAAGAAGAUUCCUCAGACCCCACUCAUCCAAAUGAGGGCCCUGCUUGGCUACAGCUGCUCUGCAUCGGCUCUGAUUCAAUCUCCCAGAUUGCUCCUUGUGUUUCAGCUGCAGCAAUGCCUUUUUAAAGCAAGCUCCUGGAAAAUGAGCCUCCCCCUUUUGCAGGAGGUGCUGGCCACAGAGAUGCUUGCACAGGAUGAGCCCUAAAUGCCUGUGCCACAAGGUAAAGAAUUCAGGUUCUCCAUCGAGAUGCUCCAAGUUUUAGUGGCAAUGAGCAAAUCACUGGUGUCCUUGGGAAACAUAAGGACACCCUAAUUGCAGGCAAUUAAAGCAGCCUUAGGAAAAGAAGGGCUGUGUUGAAAUCCAAGCUGGAAAGCGUACCUCUAAAUGGGUGCCAGUUGCCAGCGCUGGAGAAGUGCCCCCGGAGAAGGAGCUGGUGCUGCACAAACCCUCCCCAUAGAGCUGGGGCUAGAAGGACCUUCUCUCCUGUGUCCUGGUUACAUGAACACUUCACCUCCUGCAUGCAGGCACUUGCAUGAGCAUGCAAAUCCAGCAGGCUCUUACUGGGGCUCCUGCAUGUGGGAGAUGGGAGAUGCUGGGAGCUGAUGAGGGCAGAUAGAAUGGAGCAAGUCCAGGGAAAGAAAGUAAUCGAUGCUGGGCUUGCCUUUAGAAUGCUCCCUCUCCUUUUUUGAUGCUGGUGCUCUGUAAAGGUUUGCCUUUGCCAGAUGGGGACUUCCAUUACUUUAGAGCUGUCAGAACAACAAAAGACUUCUUUGAGUCAUUUUCUAUAUCUGACCUUGAAUUACUGGAGCAGCAAUAAACAUCAAGAGCAAUGAGAA